rnacentral:lncRNA from 1 species
CCGCGGCGGGCCGGGUCUCCAGGGAGGACCUGAGUUUUCUUCACCCAUUGUCAGGGAGGCGCCAUCGCCCUGGCUUUGGGGCUGGGGCCUCCGGGGAGGUUCCGGUAGGGGCGUUGGAGAGGCCGCUCUUUUUGCAAGGCCCGAGACGGCGGGCCUUGCGCAGGCCGCCCUAUUCCGCGCCCUCAGGGCGUCAGUAUCAGCCUGAGGCUGGAUACCCCCGCUGGGCCCAGAUGCCCCCGCUGGGCCCGGAGCAUCCUCCGGCGCUGCCCUCCCAGAGCCACGCAGAGGCUGAGGUGGCGCGGGGGCGGCCCUGGCUCCGCGAGAAGCGGCGGCAGCGAGGGCUGGAGGACCCGGGCUGCGGGGCUCCGGGGCGUCUGGCCUGGGUGGGACUGAGCCCAUCCAGGGACUGGGACUCCGGGGUUCUGGUGUAGGUGGAUCCGGGGCAGGCUCAGGACCAAGUCCCUCUCCUUCCACCAAGGAGCGCCCAGAGGCCGGCGGGAGCUCCAGGUUCACCUCCUCCUCCUCCAGGAAAUCCCACUUCCAACUGGAUGUCUGGAUGAACUACUGAAAGCUGCUGAGUGUCCUGCAGCAGGCCAUUUCCAAUCCAGCGGAAGACCUUCUAGAAGAGAUGAUGGUGGGAGAGUGCUGACAUACUAUGUGAAGCUACUAUUUGGAGUUGGACACGAGUGCAUGUGUCCUUGUGCCACAACGGGAAUCUUGACUACAACACAAAUGAAUCCACUCAAAUGUUGGCAAGUGGAGCAGAGUCCCAGAACAGGUGCUGGAGCAGCCCCCCUGGAAGUGAUGCAGCAUCCAGGAAGACGGAGGAAGGGGCGGAGAAGGACCUCUGCUUUCCAGGCUGCCUUUUAUACUGCCUCUGGUCACCUGACGUGGAACGUACCCUAACCUAAUCAGUUACAU